UACGGAGGCCCCAAGCGUUGUUCGGAUUUAUUGGGCGUAAAGGGUGCGUAGGCGGCGUGGUAAGUCUGGUGUGAAAGGCGUGGGCUCAACCCGCGGACUGCAUUGGAUACUGCCAUGCUAGAGGACUGGAGAGGAGAAUGGAAUUCACGGUGGAGCAGUGAAAUGCGUAGAUAUCGUGAGGAAGGCCAGUGGCGAAGGCGACUUGACUGGACUGUAACUGACGCUGAGGCAUGAAAGCGUGGGGAGCAAACAGG
rnacentral:rRNA from 1 species